ACCCGCUGAACUUAAGCAUAUCAAUAAGCGGAGGAAAAGAAACCAACAGGGAUUGCCUCAGUAACGGCGAGUGAAGCGGCAACAGCUCAAAUUUGAAAUCUGGCCCCCUCGGGGUCCGAGUUGUAAUUUGGAGAAGAUGCUUCGGGUGCGGCCCCGGUCUAAGUUCCUUGGAACAGGACGUCACAGAGGGUGAGAAUCCCGUACGUGCCCGGUGGUCGCCCCCGUGUGAAGCUCUUUCGACGAGUCGAGUUGUUUGGGAAUGCAGCUCUAAAUGGGUGGUAUAUUUCAUCUAAAGCUAAAUAUUGGCCAGAGACCGAUAGCGCACAAGUAGAGUGAUCGAAAGAUGAAAAGCACUUUGGAAAGAGAGUUAAACAGUACGUGAAAUUGUUGAAAGGGAAGCGCUUGCAACCAGACUUGCGCGCGGCCGAUCAUCCGGUGUUCGCACCGGUGCACUCGACCGCGCGCAGGCCAGCAUCGGUUUGGGUGGCUGGACAAAGGCCUCGGGAAUGUGGCUCCCCUCGGGGAGUGUUAUAGCCCGAGGUGCAAUGCAGCCUACCCGGACCGAGGACCGCGCUUCGGCUAGGAUGCUGGCGUAAUGGUUGUAAGCGACCCGUCUUGAAACACGG
rnacentral:rRNA from 1 species